GUGCUCACUUCAGUAGCACAUAUACUAAAAUUCAAACAAUACAGAGAAGAUUAGCAUGGCCCCUGUAUAAGAAUGACAUGCAAAUUCAUGAAGUAUUACAUUUUUUA